ensembl:lncRNA
CCAGAUAAAAGCGGCUUCUUUCUUCAGUAGCUGUGAUUCUCUGCGUGUCUCUGAGCAAUUCUUCAUACUUCAGUGAUUUUCUGAGCAUCAGCAGAAGUCAGUGAAAGAGUUUUAAAGCUUUAUUAGAUUUUUAACUUCAAAAUAAGAAGAUUAAGGCGAACUAAGGACUAAAAAGGCUUUAACCAAUAUGAAGUCCUUUGCACAGAAAGUGGGACAGGCUCCUCCCACAUCCUCAUCAAAACAACAGGAUUUCUUUCAGCAUCUCAUCGAUGAAUUAAAUGAUCUGAAGGAUGUGAUCAAGAAACGAUCUGAAAUACACAAAGAACUAGAGGCUAAAGAAAGAAAGAAGAUCCAGGAAAUAAAGGAAACCUAUGAAGAUAAAUUAAAGGAGGCUCAGGACAAGUACAGCGGGUGCUCUGAUGAACUGCAGCUUUCUCAGGACCAGUGCAGAACCCUCUCCUCUGAGCUCAUGGAGAGCAAGAACCAGUCAGCCUUGCUCUCUGCAGAACUGGAGUUCUAUAAGAACCAAUCUAGUCUGUCCUCCUCAAACCACAUGGAGGCCAAUGAGCAGAAGACCACGUGUGACCAAAGCACAGACACGUGUGACCAGGUGUGGACAACACAACAGGUUGACAACAAUGUGUGUGUCUCACGAGAACCUGAUCAGCAGUUCAUACCAGUUCACCAAGGACCCACUACCAGUAUGGUGGACUACUCCCAUCUCCCUCAGCGGCUAGUACCAGCAUACAAAGACCCCGAUACUGGGAUGGUCCACUGUGGUGAGCCCAUUUACCCAGUUUACCCAGACCCCAAUACUGGUGUGGUCUACCACUACCAGCCCACACCAGAUGGACAGUUCGUUACUGUGAACCCAGAUUUCCAGUACCUGGUCUCUGAAUGCUUCCAACCCUCUUCAGAGAAUAUGGACCAGGACCAAGAACUCUCCAAGGAUCUGGGUCAGAGUACGGACCAGGACCAAGAACUCUCCAAGGAUCUGGGUCAGAGUACGGACCAGAACCAAGAACUCUCCAAGGAUCUGGGUCAGAGUACGGACCAGGACCAAGAACUCUCCAAGGAUCUGGGUCAGAGUACGGACCAGGACGAUAGGUCAUCUGUCAAAGAGGACAAGGAGCAGCUGGACAAUCUGUCCUCAGAGCAGAAGGACCAGAAGGAGAAUGAAGUCCAGGAGGAACCAAAGAAAGGAAAGCGCAGACGAAAGCGUAAACCUAGACAUUAGAAUAAGUCGUCACCUUUGGGUUCACUAUAGAUUGGACAGUAGACAAUAUCUUUCUUUCUUCUGCUGAACAAUUAUUUCAAAAUAAAAGGGUUCAUUUGAUUGAUCUCUACUAUU